AAGUCGAGCGGAAACGAGUUAUCUGAACCUUCGGGGAACGAUAACGGCGUCGAGCGGCGGACGGGUGAGUAAUGCCUAGGAAAUUGCCCUGAUGUGGGGGAUAACCAUUGGAAACGAUGGCUAAUACCGCAUGAUGCCUACGGGCCAAAGAGGGGGACCUUCGGGCCUCUCGCGUCAGGAUAUGCCUAGGUGGGAUUAGCUAGUUGGUGAGGUAAGGGCUCACCAAGGCAACGAUCCCUAGCUGGUCUGAGAGGAUGAUCAGCCACACUGGAACUGAGACACGGUCCAGACUCCUACGGGAGGCAGCAGUGGGGAAUAUUGCACAAUGGGCGCAAGCCUGAUGCAGCCAUGCCGCGUGUAUGAAGAAGGCCUUCGGGUUGUAAAGUACUUUCAGUCGUGAGGAAGGCGUUGUAGUUAAUAGCUGCAUCGUUUGACGUUAGCGACAGAAGAAGCACCGGCUAACUCCGUGCCAGCAGCCGCGGUAAUACGGAGGGUGCGAGCGUUAAUCGGAAUUACUGGGCGUAAAGCGCAUGCAGGUGGUUUGUUAAGUCAGAUGUGAAAGCCCGGGGCUCAACCUCGGAAUAGCAUUUGAAACUGGCAGACUAGAGUACUGUAGAGGGGGGUAGAAUUUCAGGUGUAGCGGUGAAAUGCGUAGAGAUCUGAAGGAAUACCGGUGGCGAAGGCGGCCCCCUGGACAGAUACUG
rnacentral:rRNA from 2 species